GCGUACUGUUGCUGGCCGGCGAACUGUUCGUCUCCCAAUCUCCCCCAAAGUCCGAUCGCGUAUCAUCAGGUUCUAUUAUAUUCAAAUAUUAGGGUUACAUUUAUAUUCAAAUAUAAAUUCUUGAAUUGUCAUAUUUUUGCAAGGUUAUGUUCUUGGCUCUGAAUCAAGCAUCAGGUCUUGCUUCUUCAAGUUUCUAGAUAUUCCAUUUUUAACCUCAAGUAUAUAUCUCUAACGGGGAUAA
rnacentral:lncRNA from 1 species